GGUUAAGCGACUAAGCGUACACGGUGGAUGCCCUGGCAGUCAGAGGCGAUGAAGGACGUGCUAAUCUGCGAUAAGCGUCGGUAAGGUGAUAUGAACCGUUAUAACCGGCGAUUUCCGAAUGGGGAAACCCAGUGUGAUUCGUCACACUAUCAUUAACUGAAUCCAUAGGUUAAUGAGGCGAACCGGGGGAACUGAAACAUCUAAGUACCCCGAGGAAAAGAAAUCAACCGAGAUUCCCCCAGUAGCGGCGAGCGAACGGGGAGCAGCCCAGAGCCUGAAUCAGUGUGUGUGUUAGUGGAAGCGUCUGGAAAGGCGCGCGAUACAGGGUGACAGCCCCGUACACAAAAAUGCACAUGCUGUGAGCUCGAUGAGUAGGGCGGGACACGUGGUAUCCUGUCUGAAUAUGGGGGGACCAUCCUCCAAGGCUAAAUACUCCUGACUGACCGAUAGUGAACCAGUACCGUGAGGGAAAGGCGAAAAGAACCCCGGCGAGGGGAGUGAAAAAGAACCUGAAACCGUGUACGUACAAGCAGUGGGAGCACGCUUAGGCGUGUGACUGCGUACCUUUUGUAUAAUGGGUCAGCGACUUAUAUUCUGUAGCAAGGUUAACCGAAUAGGGGAGCCGAAGGGAAACCGAGUCUUAACUGGGCGUUAAGUUGCAGGGUAUAGACCCGAAACCCGGUGAUCUAGCCAUGGGCAGGUUGAAGGUUGGGUAACACUAACUGGAGGACCGAACCGACUAAUGUUGAAAAAUUAGCGGAUGACUUGUGGCUGGGGGUGAAAGGCCAAUCAAACCGGGAGAUAGCUGGUUCUCCCCGAAAGCUAUUUAGGUAGCGCCUCGUGAAUUCAUCUCCGGGGGUAGAGCACUGUUUCGGCAAGGGGGUCAUCCCGACUUACCAACCCGAUGCAAACUGCGAAUACCGGAGAAUGUUAUCACGGGAGACACACGGCGGGUGCUAACGUCCGUCGUGAAGAGGGAAACAACCCAGACCGCCAGCUAAGGUCCCAAAGUCAUGGUUAAGUGGGAAACGAUGUGGGAAGGCCCAGACAGCCAGGAUGUUGGCUUAGAAGCAGCCAUCAUUUAAAGAAAGCGUAAUAGCUCACUGGUCGAGUCGGCCUGCGCGGAAGAUGUAACGGGGCUAAACCAUGCACCGAAGCUGCGGCAGCGACGCUGAUGCGUUGUUGGGUAGGGGAGCGUUCUGUAAGCCUGUGAAGGUGUACUGUGAGGUAUGCUGGAGGUAUCAGAAGUGCGAAUGCUGACAUAAGUAACGAUAAAGCGGGUGAAAAGCCCGCUCGCCGGAAGACCAAGGGUUCCUGUCCAACGUUAAUCGGGGCAGGGUGAGUCGACCCCUAAGGCGAGGCCGAAAGGCGUAGUCGAUGGGAAACAGGUUAAUAUUCCUGUACUUGGUGUUACUGCGAAGGGGGGACGGAGAAGGCUAUGUUGGCCGGGCGACGGUUGUCCCGGUUUAAGCGUGUAGGCUGGUUUUCCAGGCAAAUCCGGAAAAUCAAGGCUGAGGCGUGAUGACGAGGCACUACGGUGCUGAAGCAACAAAUGCCCUGCUUCCAGGAAAAGCCUCUAAGCAUCAGGUAACAUCAAAUCGUACCCCAAACCGACACAGGUGGUCAGGUAGAGAAUACCAAGGCGCUUGAGAGAACUCGGGUGAAGGAACUAGGCAAAAUGGUGCCGUAACUUCGGGAGAAGGCACGCUGAUAUGUAGGUGAAGUCCCUCGCGGAUGGAGCUGAAAUCAGUCGAAGAUACCAGCUGGCUGCAACUGUUUAUUAAAAACACAGCACUGUGCAAACACGAAAGUGGACGUAUACGGUGUGACGCCUGCCCGGUGCCGGAAGGUUAAUUGAUGGGGUCAGCGCAAGCGAAGCUCUUGAUCGAAGCCCCGGUAAACGGCGGCCGUAACUAUAACGGUCCUAAGGUAGCGAAAUUCCUUGUCGGGUAAGUUCCGACCUGCACGAAUGGCGUAAUGAUGGCCAGGCUGUCUCCACCCGAGACUCAGUGAAAUUGAACUCGCUGUGAAGAUGCAGUGUACCCGCGGCAAGACGGAAAGACCCCGUGAACCUUUACUAUAGCUUGACACUGAACAUUGAGCCUUGAUGUGUAGGAUAGGUGGGAGGCUUUGAAGUGUGGACGCCAGUCUGCAUGGAGCCGACCUUGAAAUACCACCCUUUAAUGUUUGAUGUUCUAACGUUGACCCGUGAUCCGGGUUGCGGACAGUGUCUGGUGGGUAGUUUGACUGGGGCGGUCUCCUCCUAAAGAGUAACGGAGGAGCACGAAGGUUGGCUAAUCCUGGUCGGACAUCAGGAGGUUAGUGCAAUGGCAUAAGCCAGCUUGACUGCGAGCGUGACGGCGCGAGCAGGUGCGAAAGCAGGUCAUAGUGAUCCGGUGGUUCUGAAUGGAAGGGCCAUCGCUCAACGGAUAAAAGGUACUCCGGGGAUAACAGGCUGAUACCGCCCAAGAGUUCAUAUCGACGGCGGUGUUUGGCACCUCGAUGUCGGCUCAUCACAUCCUGGGGCUGAAGUAGGUCCCAAGGGUAUGGCUGUUCGCCAUUUAAAGUGGUACGCGAGCUGGGUUUAGAACGUCGUGAGACAGUUCGGUCCCUAUCUGCCGUGGGCGCUGGAGAACUGAGGGGGGCUGCUCCUAGUACGAGAGGACCGGAGUGGACGCAUCACUGGUGUUCGGGUUGUCAUGCCAAUGGCACUGCCCGGUAGCUAAAUGCGGAAGAGAUAAGUGCUGAAAGCAUCUAAGCACGAAACUUGCCCCGAGAUGAGUUCUCCCUGACUCCUUGAGAGUCCUGAAGGAACGUUGAAGACGACGACGUUGAUAGGCCGGAUGUGUAAGCGCAGCGAUGCGUUGAGCUAACCGGUACUAAUGAACCGUGAGGCUUAACCUU
rnacentral:rRNA from 1 species